rnacentral:rRNA from 1 species
AACCAGACUCCUACGGGAGGCAGCAGUGGGGGAUAUUGCACAAUGGGGGGAACCCUGAUGCAGCGACGCCGCGUGGGUGAAGAAGCGCCUCGGCGCGUAAAGCCCUGUCAGCAGGGAAGAAAAUGACGGUACCUGAAGAAGAAGCCCCGGCUAACUACGUGCCAGCAGCCGCGGUAAUACGUAGGGGGCAAGCGUUGUCCGGAAUCAUUGGGCGUAAAGAGUUCGUAGGCGGUAUGUUAAGUCUGGUGUUAAAUGCAGAAGCUCAACUUCUGGUCGGCACUGGAUACUGGCAAACUAGAAUGCGGGAGAGGUAAAGGGAAUUCCUGGUGUAGCGGUGAAAUGCUUAGAUAUCAGGAGGAACAUCGGUGGCGUAAGCGCUUUACUGGGCCGUAAUUGACGCUGAGGAACGAAAGCCAGGGUAGCAAAUGGGAUUAGAUACCCUAGUAC